CAGACAGAAGGACAGAUGGACCAAGACACUUGGAGUCAGUCCCACGCAAACACACACAAUGAUCCCCGUCCCCUGGACGGUCAGCUGGGCUGACUCAGCACACCACCACCCCAUGCCUCUCUUCUCCUGCUGAGUGACGUGGGCUGUGGCCUCCUGUCCCCCAGGCCCUGGGGUGCCUCGGACUCUGGAGAGAGGAGCUGUCAGGAAGCCACGUGGGAAGGACGUCCUAGGAGCCACCCCCACACUCGACCCUGUGCCCACCUUUUCUCCUUUCUGUCCUGGGGGUCCCUGCAAAGAGACAGAAACGAGAGAGUUAGGGGGUCAAAGUCCAGGAUAAAGGGGCCCCAAACCUCUCUGCCGGAAACUGGGAAGAGGAGGUACCCACCGGCUGUCCUCGGGGACCCGCCAGGCCCUGUGGAGAGGAAACACACAGGCUGUGUCUCCAAGACGGCAAGGACAGCGUCUCUCUGGCUCCUGUCUCCAUCCCUAGCACCGACUGCAGUGCCCAGCAUACUUUAUAUGCUCAAUGAAAAGGCACCAAGGGGAGGCAGGAGGGGGAAGGCAGGAGGUGGGAAGGCAGGUGGAGAGAGAGGGGAACAAAACAGUGGGGAGGCCAUGAGGGGAGAAGGAAAGGUUUGAGAACUAGGUUCGGAUCCUGUUUUGGAUGUUUCUUGGCUGUGUGACUUCAGGCUAGUUACUUCAACUCUCUGAGUCUCCAUUUCUACAACUGUCAAAGGGGAUACUAAUGGGACCUGGAACACAGGUUCCCACUGAGAAAUAAAUUAGAUAAUACAGUCA